rnacentral:rRNA from 1 species
CUCGGUGACUAUUGCGCGGGGGGUCCACCUCUAUCCAUUCCGAACAGAGAAGUUAAGCCCCGCAGCGCCGAUGGUACUGCCAAUGGUGGGAGAGUAGGUCGUUGCCGAGA